rnacentral:rRNA from 1 species
AACGCGAAGAACCUUACCUACCCUUGACAUGUACGGAAUCCUGCUGAGAGGUUAGGAGUGCCCGAAAGGGAACCGUAACACAGGUGCUGCAUGGCUGUCGUCAGCUCGUGUCGUGAGAUGUUGGGUUAAGUCCCGCAACGAGCGCAACCCUUGUCAUUAAUUGCCAUCAUUUAGUUGGGCACUUUAAUGAGACUGCCGGUGACAAACCGGAGGAAGGUGGGGAUGACGUCAAGUCCUCAUGGCCUUUAUGGGUAGGGCUUCACACGUAAUACAAUGGCCGGUACAGAGGGUCGCAAAGCCGCAAGGUGGAGCCAAUCCCAGAAAGCCGGUCGUAGUCCGGAUUGAAGUCUGCAACUCGACUUCAUGAAGUCGGAAUCGCUAGUAAUCGCGGAUCAGCAUGUCGCGGUGAAUACGUUCCCGGGCCUUGUACACACCGCGAGC